rnacentral:rRNA from 1 species
ACUCCUACGGGAGGCAGCAGUGGGGAAUUUUGGACAAUGGGCGAAAGCCUGAUCCAGCAAUGCCGCGUGCAGGAUGAAGGCCCUCGGGUUGUAAACUGCUUUUGUACGGAACGAAAAGCCUGGGGCUAAUAUCCCCGGGGUCAUGACGGUACCGUAAGAAUAAGCACCGGCUAACUACGUGCCAGCAGCCGCGGUAAUACGUAGGGUGCAAGCGUUAAUCGGAAUUACUGGGCGUAAAGCGUGCGCAGGCGGUUUUGUAAGACAGUGGUGAAAUCCCCGGGCUCAACCUGGGAACUGCCAUUGUGACUGCAAGGCUAGAGUGCGGCAGAGGGGGAUGGAAUUCCGCGUGUAGCAGUGAAAUGCGUAGAUAUGCGGAGGAACACCGAUGGCGAAGGCAAUCCCCUGGGCCUGCACUGACGCUCAUGCACGAAAGCGUGGGAGCAAACAGGAUUAGAUACCCCUGGUAGCGACUGA